rnacentral:rRNA from 1 species
AGAAUCAACGCUGGCGGCGUGCCUAACACAUGCAAGUCGAACGAGAAAGUGGAGCAAUCCAUGAGUAAAGUGGCGCACGGGUGAGUAACACGUGACUAACCUACCCUUGAGUGGGGAAUAACUUCGGGAAACCGAGGCUAAUACCGCAUAACACCUACGGGUCAAAGGAGCAAUUCGCUUAAGGAGGGGGUCGCGGCAGAUUAGUUAGUUGGCGGGGUAAUGGCCCACCAAGACAGUGAUCUGUAUCCGGCCUGAGAGGGCGCGACGGAACGACGACUAGGAACGUGAACACGGUCCAGACUCCUACGGGAGGCAGCAGUGGGGAAUUUGCGCAAUGGGGGAAACCCUGACGCAGCAACGCCGCGUGGAGGAUGAAGUCUCUUGGGACGUAAACUCCUUUCGAUCGGGACGAUAAUGACGGUACCGAGAGAAGAAGCCCCGGCUAACUUCGUGCCAGCAGCCGC